UCGUAGUUGGAAAAAAUUAGAGUGUUUAAAGCAGGCUUGUGCUAUGAAUACAUCAGCAUGGAAUAAUAAUUUAGGACUUGGUUCUAUUUUGUUGGUUUCUAGGACUGAAGUAAUGAUUGAGAGGGAUCGUUGGGGUGCUAGUAUUCAGCGGCCAGAGGUGAAAUUCUUGGAUUCGCUGAAGACUAACUUAUGCGAAAGCAUUCACCAAGGAUGUCUUCUUCUGUCUCUUAUACACAUCUCCGAGCCCACGAGACGAGUUCA
rnacentral:rRNA from 1 species